GAUUUCAAUUGAAAAAGUCAUCAACAACAAAGUUGAAUAACUCAUCAAGAUCUAAAACUUUUACUUUUGUUAUUUCUUCAUCCGACGAAAUGUUAGUAAUAUUAUUCAAAAAUUUUACAUAUAUGUGUUAUAGUUUAUAAAACCAGAUAAGAGAUAUGUCAAUUUUGUGAACAAUGUUACUAUCACUUUGUCGUAUGAAGAAAUGACCAAAAUAAAAGUUUUAGAUCUUGAUGAGUUAUUCAACUUUGUUGUUGAUGACUUUUUCAGUUGAUAUC
rnacentral:pre_miRNA from 1 species